rnacentral:rRNA from 1 species
CUUUUGUGGGGUGCUCGAGUGGCGAACGGGUGAGUAACACGUGAGUAACCUGCCCUUGACUUUGGGAUAACUUCAGGAAACUGGGGCUAAUACCGGAUAGGAGCUCCUGCUGCAUGGUGGGGGUUGGAAAGUUUCGGCGGUUGGGGAUGGACUCGCGGCUUAUCAGCUUGUUGGUGGGGUAGUGGCUUACCAAGGCUUUGAGGGUAGCCGGCCUGAGAGGGUGACCGGCCACAUUGGGACUGAGGUACGGCCCAG